UCUUUGGUGGUGUAGCGGCUUUAACAUGUGUCAAUGUCAAUGAAUACCUAUGUUCAUCUUCGUUACUGGCAGUUUCUGGGUUCGACCCCCGGUCAAGGAU